ensembl:lncRNA
AAUUAAGGAGAUUCUAAUUAAAGCGAUGUUUUGAUCUCCCAGUUUCUUGUGAUCAAACCAAUGGAAGGACUCCCAUAGCAAUAAGCAGGUUCAUUUUAAUAUCUGCAGUAUGAAACCAGGAAGCCUAAGACCAAACUCAGUAUGUUAGACUAUCCUCUAGAGCUUUUAUCAAGCUGUAAUACUUAACUUGUACUAUAAAAACACCCCAAGCACAGGGUGUCAAGAAUUUGCAUAACCUUGCUACAGACCUAGUCAUGCCAGCACUCAGACAGAAAGUUCAAUUUAUUGCUCAGCUGUUGCUUGCUGCUCACCUGUUAACACUUUGCUGUAGCAAAACCUACAGCUGCAGUGUAUCACCAUUAGCCUCCAGACGGAGACUCUCCCACUUCUCAUUGGCUGUGGCUGAUUGCCUUAUUAGAAGGGCUGUGCCUACAGACGGUAUAAAAAGGCAGGUCAAGGCUGGGUAGGUGCUGUGUGGGGUCCUGGGGAUGUGGAUGUCCUGUUGACAAUGGUUGUGCCUCUGUGUAAUUGCUGUCUUUCCCUUUAUGAGCAUCAGAUAUUAUUUCUAGCCAUUCUGACUGGGGCCAGGCUCUUUGCAGUGGAGAGCAGUGACAAGGUAAGUGGUGACAGGCAAAAGCUCAAAGGUAGGAAGCUGUAUAUGAACUUCUGCAAGGACUUGUUUCCUAGGAGGACAAUAGACCACUGGAACAGGCUGCUCAAAAAGGUCAUGGAGUUUUUUUCUCAAGAGCUAUUCAAAACAAGCCUGGAUGUUUUUCCUGGGUGAUCUGCCGCAGGGAUCCUGCUUUACAAGGUAAGUUGAACUUGAUCUCUAGAGGUCCUCUCCAACCACCAUGAUUGUACCUGGGAGGAGGAUAUGUUGGUGACUUGCAUUCCUCCCUAGCUGGGGAGGUUAGCAAGUGAUAAGGUGUGGGUUACAAUUUGUUCUAGUGGCUUUUGUUUGGGGUGACUUUCAGGGUUUUCAUGAGACUUGGGAAGAAAUGGGGUGGCUACUGUUGAUGGGGAGGGUACGUAUUUUGUGUGGUUAGACUUCACUGUGGUUGCAUGGUUUACUUUCCUGAGAUGGACUUGUCUGUACUGGCCUGAUGGGGAUUACUUGCUGCACUGGAGCUGGUGUAGGGAUUGCCUUGAGAGGUGCUUGGGACUGUUCAGGGGUUUCUGAGAAUACUGAACUGUGGAAUACUGUUUUUUUGAGAGCUAGAGAAACCCCUGAAGUUCUUUCCUUCCUGGGAGAUACUUGAAGAAGAGCAUGGCCAUUGUCUAUCAGUAUUCCUGGUCGACUGGAGACUUGCCAACGUGACUCCUAUCCACAAGAAGGGUGGUAAGGAGGAUCUGGGGAACUACAGGCCUGUCAGUCUGACCUCGGUGCCAGGGAAGGUUAUGGAGUAGAUUGUCUUGAGAAAGCUCACACGGCAUGUGUGACACAACCAGGGGAUCAGGCCUAGCUAGCAUGGGUUUGUGAAGGGCGGGUCUUGCUUGACCAACCUAAUCUCCUUCUACAAUCUAAUGACCCAUCUGGUGGAUGAGGGGAAGGCUGUUGAUGUGAUCUACCUUGACUUCAGCAAAGCUUUCAACGCUGUCUCCCAUGGUACUCUCCUGGAGAAGUUGGCAGCCCGUGGCUUGGACACUUACACUUUUUGCUGGGUAAGGAGCUGGCUGGAGGGCUGGGCCCAGAGAGUGGCGAAUGGAGUUAAAUCCAGCUGGUGACCAGUCAUGGGUGGUGUUCUAAUGAUUAACUAUUUUAUUAUCUAUGGUUCCAAUUACUG